AUUGAACGCUGGCGGCAGGCUCAACACAUGCAAGUCGAGCGGGGGAAGGUAGCUUGCUACCGGACCUAGCGGCGGACGGGUGAGUAAUGCUUAGGAAUCUGCCUAUUAGUGGGGGACGACAUCUCGAAAGGGAUGCUAAUACCGCAUACGUCCUACGGGAGAAAGCAGGGGAUCUUCGGACCUUGCGCUAAUAGAUGAGCCUAAGUCGGAUUAGCUAGUUGGUGGGGUAAAGGCCUACCAAGGCGACGAUCUGUAGCGGGUCUGAGAGGAUGAUCCGCCACACUGGGACUGAGACACGGCCCAGACUCCUACGGGAGGCAGCAGUGGGGAAUAUUGGACAAUGGGGGGAACCCUGAUCCAGCCAUGCCGCGUGUGUGAAGAAGGCCUUAUGGUUGUAAAGCACUUUAAGCGAGGAGGAGGCUACUUUAGUUAAUACCUAGAGAUAGUGGACGUUACUCGCAGAAUAAGCACCGGCUAACUCCGUGCCAGCAGCCGCCGUAAAAC
rnacentral:rRNA from 1 species